rnacentral:tRNA from 1 species
GUGGUGCUGCGGUGGUGGCCGCCGACGGCGCUGGGACCGUCGCCGGCGCUGCCGGGCGAAGGGCGCGCUGGGCACAGGCCCGGAGCACCGCG